CUGCUCUAUGAAAAUUUAAAUGGCUGAAGCAUAUUAACUGGACUAAGGUAGCAUAAUCAUUUGUUUUUUAAUUGAAAGCUGGAAUGAAAGAUUGAAUGAAAUAUAAACUUUUUUUAUAUAAGAAAUUAAAUUUAUUAUUUAAAUAAAAAAAUUUAAAUAUAUUAAAUAGACGAUAAGACCCUAUAAAAUUUUAUAAUAUCUUAAUAAUUAAAAUUUUUAAUUAUUAAAAAUAUUAUUUUAUUGGGAGGAUAGGAAAAGUUUUAACUUUUUUUUAUAAAAAAAAUUAAUAAAUUAAUAAAAGAACCAUUAUUAAUGAUUAAAAAAUAAAUUACUUUAGGGAUAACAGCUUAAUGUCUUUAGAUAGUUCAAAUUGACAAAGAUGUUUAAGACCUCGAUCUUGAAUUA
rnacentral:rRNA from 1 species